rnacentral:tRNA from 1 species
GCCCUAGUAGCUUAAUAUUUAAAGCACCGGUCUUGUAAUCCGGAAAUNGAAGGUUAAAAUCCUUCCUAGUGCC